rnacentral:rRNA from 1 species
UACGUAGGGCGCAAGCGUUGUCCGGAAUUAUUGGGCGUAAAGAGCUCGUAGGCGGCUUGUCACGUCGGGUGUGAAAGCCCGGGGCUUAACCCCGGUCUGCAUUCGAUACGGGCUAGCUAGAGUGUGGUAGGGGAGAUCGGAAUUCCUGGUGUAGCGGUGAAAUGCGCAGAUAUCAGGAGGAACACCGGUGGCGAAGGCGGAUCUCUGGGCCAUUACUGACGCUGAGGAGCGAAAGCGUGGGAGCGAACAGG